CCUACGGGAGUCAGCAGUGAGGAAUAUUGGUCAAUGGGCGAGAGCCUGAACCAGCCAAGUCGCGUGAAGGAUGAAGGAUCUAUGGUUUGUAAACUUCUUUUAUAUGGGAAUAAAGUGAGGAACGUGUUCCUUUUUGUAUGUACCAUAUGAAUAAGCAUCGGCUAACUCCGUGCCAGCAGCCGCGGUAAUACGGAGGUUGCGAGCGUUAUCCGGAUUUAUUGGGUUUAAAGGGAGCGUAGGUGGUAAAUUAAGUCAGCGGUGAAAGUUUGUGGCUCAACCAUAAGAUUGCCGUUGAAACUGGUUGUCUUGAGUAUAUUUGAGGUAGGCGGAAUGCGUGGUGUAGCGGUGAAAUGCAUAGAUAUCACGCAGAACUCCGAUUGCGAAGGCAGCUUACUAAGCUAUAACUGACACUGAAGCACGAAAGCGUGGGGAUCAAACAGGAUUAGAUACCCCUGUAGUC
rnacentral:rRNA from 1 species